UUUAUGGAGAGUUUGAUCCUGGCUCAGGAUGAACGCUGGCGGCGUGCCUAAUACAUGCAAGUCGAGCGAACGGACGAGAAGCUUGCUUCUCUGAUGUUAGCGGCGGACGGGUGAGUAACACGUGGAUAACCUACCUAUAAGACUGGGAUAACUUCGGGAAACCGUAGCUAAUACCGGAUAAUAUUUUGAACCGCAUGGUUCAAAAGUGAAAGACGGUCUUGCUGUCACUUAUAGAUGGAUCCGCGCUGCAUUAGCUAGU
rnacentral:rRNA from 1 species